AGAGUUUGAUCCUAGGCUCAGGAUGAACGCUAGCGAUAGGCUUAACACAUGCAAGUCGAGGGGCAGCACGCUUUCGGGUGGUGGCGACCGGCGCACGGGUGAGUAACACGUAUGCAACCUACCCAUAACAGGGGGAUAGCCCGUUGAAAGACGGAUUAAUACCGCAUAAAGCAGGGAUACCGCAUGGUAAUAUUUGCUAAAGAUUUAUUGGUUAUGGAUGGGCAUGCGCUCCAUUAGGUAGUUGGUAUGGGUAAUGGCCUACCAAGCCAUCGAUGGAUAGGGGAACUGAGAGGUUUAUCCCCCACACUGGUACUGAGACACGGACCAGACUCCUACGGGAGGCAGCAGUGAGGAAUAUUGGUCAAUGGUCGAGAGACUGAACCAGCCAAAUCGCGUGAAGGACGACGGUAUUAUGUAUUGUAAACUUCUUUUAUAAGGGAAUAAAGUUAGGGACGUGUCCUUAUUUGUAUGUACCUUAUGAAUAAGCAUCGGCUAACUCCGUGCCAGCAGCCGCGGUAAUACGGAGGAUGCGAGCGUUAUCCGGAUUUAUUGGGUUUAAAGGGUGCGUAGGUGGAAAGGUCAGUCAGCGGUGAAAUCCAGGAGCUCAACUCCUGAACUGCCGUUGAAACUUCCUUUCUUGAGUGUGAACGAGGUAGGCGGAAUUCGUAGUGUAGCGGUGAAAUGCAUAGAUAUUACGAAGAACUCCGAUAGCGCAGGCAGCUUACCAGGCCACAACUGACACUGAA
rnacentral:rRNA from 1 species